AAUAUGUCCCAAGCCACCUGAGCACCACACCACACCACCUCCUACUUAUCCUAAAUCGAUCAAUUAGCGAUGUUUUACCGAUAGUGUGGUAAGUUCUGACCCCACUUCUUCAUUUUUUCGACAACUGAUGAAUGAUUCUGGUGGUUUAGGUCUUUAGUUGGUGGUUGAUGAUAUUGGUUUUUCGCUGGCCGGUGAGUGAAGCGGCUAGAAGUGGUUCCGACACGUGUGAUUGUGACAAUUGAUGGGUUUUACAGUUUACAUUGGCAUCAAAUAAGGGAAUUUUUGGAUUUCAAGGGAACUCUUUUAUGAGAGGAGUUACAGUGAGCAAUUUGGAAUUCCAAGAUUAUAAACUUAGGCCAUAUUAUUGGUAUUAAGAUUGUGCUGAUGCUUUAUUGAAAGGUGGGAAGCAUGGUGGUGCUGAUGCCAUUGUUGAUGAAGUUCCUUACAUCAAGAUGUUUCUUAGUAAGUACUCUGAUGCCUGUGCUAUGGUUUCAUCUCAACCCAUUACUUUUGAUUUUGGCUUCGUAAGGAGAAGGGUGGAGAUAUAGCUAAUCACAAAAGUGAUAUUGGUUAAAUUAUUGGAUGGGUGUUUGUACAGGUCAUAGAUUGGUCAAUGUGGUCUUUUAAAUAUCUUUUUCUUGAGAGAAGUUGGGCUAAUAUGAAAGGUGAUAUGACGGUUGCUAUUCCAAAAAGUUCAACUCCGCCAACAAUGUUGAAGCUCUUUAAGGGGCAACCUUCAGUGGAUAAAGCUCACCAAAUAUUAUUAUAUUAACACGAGGUGGAGAAGAUGUAUUCCUACAAACUGGGCGUGUUCAGUUCAACUUCAGCCACUUACAGCUAGCAUGGAAGCAAUGCCUAUACUCAGGUAUGCAUAUGCAUAUGCAUCUGACUAUCUCCUUCACAUUGUAUACUAGUAGGCAUAUGGAACAUUUCGUUCAUUUCCAAAUUCUAUUUAAACAUCGACAAAGACGAGAAACCUACAAAUAAUACAUCAAAUGUGGUGUAUAAAGAAGUUUUUAAUGACUUGUGAUUUUUGCAUCACUUCCUUUUUUCAGUUCAUUGUAGUUUACUAAUUUCAUUAGUACUUGAACGUUUAUUUAUUUCAAAGGAUUAUUUUAACAAUGUU